CUGUCUCCAACCUGGAUGGAAGGACUUUUUUUUACCAGGGAAGCUCAGAGUAUUUCCCUGUGGAGCAACAAGCACUGAAACGUCUCAGAAGAUGAGCAAGCUGCUGGCAUCCUAUCUCUUCAGAGGGCAAACAGGAGGCUAAUUGUAAAUGCCUUAACUGGAGCCCACCUAUCUCUUGGCUCAAGAAAUGCGAACAGUUGUUAAGUAUCCAGCCCGAAGCCCACUUCCUGGUGCCCCAUGAAAUGUAAACAGGAGGCCAAUUGUGAAUGUCUAACCUGGAGCUCAUCUAUCUCCUACAUCAAUUCCCCCAUCAGUUGUACUGGGUAAGACCUCUCCUCAGAUAGCAACAUUGAGAAGCAAAAGUGACAUCUGGCCUGAGGACCCCAGUUCAGAACUGCCAGAGAAGAAGAGGCAGGAACUCGAAAGAGAGAAAGUUCAUGACUCAGAGGAAGUGGUUCUUCCUGCCACAGGAAGAGUCAGCGUAUCCUGAGGAAACCACAGGCUUUGCAGAGCCUGAGCUCUUCCUGGUCCAGAGGGAGAAGACUCGGUUUGCAGUAUUCAGGGUGGAGCCUGUGUCUGAGGCCUUACCCGUUUGAGACAGAAUCUGACCCAGGCCCCGGAGAGGAGAUUUGGAGGGGUGGUGCACCCAGUUAGUUGCACCAAGUUAGGCUCAGCAAACCAGAGAUCAAACCAGUCAGUCCUAAAGGAAAUCAGUCCU